UCUCAACCAUCAAGGACUAAUUCACUUUAGUUCUCUCAAAUCAAAAGUGUUUACAAAAACAAUACGAAAUCUCCAAGUAUUUAAUCCUGUUAAGGCAUUAACAUAUGAAAUAGGGGUUGGAAAUUCUAUUUUCUUAUCAGUACUCUCUUUUUCGAACCUCAACCUUUCUAUCAAACAAUUUGAGUUUUAAGGCACAUCCUCUAUGUUUGCAACCACGAGAA
rnacentral:lncRNA from 1 species